CACGGGGGGAGCAAGCGUUGUUCGGAAUCACUGGGCGUAAAGGGCGUGUAGGCGGUUCGGUAAGUGGAAUGUGAAAUGCUCCGGCUCACCCGGAGUACUGCAUCCCAAACUGCCGAGCUUGAGUAUGGGAGAGGAUGAGGGAAUUCCUGGUGUAGCGGUGAAAUGCGUAGAUAUCAGGAGGAACACCGGUGGCGAAGGCGCUCAUCCUGGCCCAAUACUGACGCUGAGGCGCGAAAGCUAGGGGAGCAAACGGG
rnacentral:rRNA from 1 species